CAGGUACAGUGGGCAGCAAUCCCGCGAGGGUGAGCUAAUCUCCAAAACCUGUCUCAGUUCGGAUUGUUCUCUGCAACUCGAGAGCGUGAAGGCGGAAUCGCUAGUAAUCGCGGAUCAGCAUGCCGCGGUGAAUACGUUCCCAGGCCUUGUACACACCGCCCGUCACACCAUGGGAGUUGGAUUCACUCGAAGGCGUUGAGCUAACCCGCAAGGGAGGCAGGCGACCACAGUGGGUUUAGCGACUGGGGUGAAGUCGUAACAAGGUAGCCGUAGGGGAACCUGCGGCUGGAUCACCUCCUUU
rnacentral:rRNA from 1 species